rnacentral:rRNA from 1 species
ACACGGUGGAUGCCCUGGCAGUCAGAGGCGAUGAAGGGCGUACUAAUCUGCGAUAAGCGCCGGUAAGGUGAUAUGAACCGUUAUAACCGGCGAUACCCGAAUGGGGAAACCCAGUGUGAUUCGUCACACUAUCAUUAACUGAAUCCAUAGGUUAAUGAGGCGAACCGGGGGAACUGAAACAUCUAAGUACCCCGAGGAAAAGAAAUCAACCGAGAUUCCCCCAGUAGCGGCGAGCGAACGGGGAGGAGCCCAGAGCCUGAAUCAGCAUGUGUGUUAGUGGAAGCGUCUGGAAAGGCGCGCGAUACAGGGUGACAGCCCCGUACACAAAAGCGCAUGUGCUGUGAGCUCGAUGAGUAGGGCGGGACACGUGGUAUCCUGUCUGAAUAUGGGGGGACCAUCCUCCAAGGCUAAAUACUCCUGACUGACCGAUAGUGAACCAGUACCGUGAGGGAAAGGCGAAAAGAACCCCGGCGAGGGGAGUGAAAAAGAACCUGAAACCGUGU